rnacentral:tRNA from 1 species
ACCUGGCUGGCUCAGUUGGUAGAGCCUCUGAUUCCUGAUCUCAGGGUCGUGAGUUCGAGCCCCACACUGGGUG